rnacentral:tRNA from 1 species
UUAGCCGAAGCCAAAUAGAGGCUUACCACCGUUAAUGGUACUAUUGAGUGAAUUCUCCGACUAAG